rnacentral:ncRNA from 1 species
UAAAGAGCGAUGAGCAAGAUGGACAUGGCUGACGAUGUCCCAGAGAGCCGGCGUAUGGUGAAAGCCGGUACACACGGGUCAUGGACAAUCACUUGGGAGCAUCUUUCCUGAAGCAGCAGUAAGGAAAGCGGGAGUGCCCGUUACAGGACUAUGACAUAGGAGUAUAAUGCAGGGUGGUACCGCGAUUUCGCCCCUGUCCGAUUAUUCGGACAGGGACUUUUCUUUUUCCAUCGUCUUUAUGCUUUGUGUCUGAGUGAUAAAUCAGAGUGGUACCGCGGAACAUCCGCCUCUGUC